rnacentral:rRNA from 1 species
UUAAGCGACUAAGCGUACACGGUGGAUGCCCUGGCAGUCAGAGGCGAUGAAGGACGUGCUAAUCUGCGAUAAGCGUCGGUAAGGUGAUAUGAACCGUUAUAACCGGCGAUUUCCGAAUGGGGAAACCCAGUGUGAUUCGUCACACUAUCAUUAACUGAAUCCAUAGGUUAAUGAGGCGAACCGGGGGAACUGAAACAUCUAAGUACCCCGAGGAAAAGAAAUCAACCGAGAUUCCCCCAGUAGCGGCGAGCGAACGGGGAGCAGCCCAGAGCCUGAAUCAGUGUGUGUGUUAGUGGAAGCGUCUGGAAAGGCGUGCGAUACAGGGUGACAGCCCCGUACACAAAAAUGCACAUAUUGUGAGCUCGAUGAGUAGGGCGGGACACGUGGUAUCCUGUCUGAAUAUGGGGGGACCAUCCUCCAAGGCUAAAUACUCCUGACUGACCGAUAGUGAACCAGUACCGUGAGGGAAAGGCGAAAAGAACCCCGGCGAGGGGAGUGAAAAAGAACCUGAAACCGUGUACGUACAAGCAGUGGGAGCACGCUUAGGCGUGUGACUGCGUACCUUUUGUAUAAUGGGUCAGCGACUUAUAUUCUGUAGCAAGGUUAACCGAAUAGGGGAGCCGAAGGGAAACCGAGUCUUAACUGGGCGUUAAGUUGCAGGGUAUAGACCCGAAACCCGGUGAUCUAGCCAUGGGCAGGUUGAAGGUUGGGUAACACUAACUGGAGGACCGAACCGACUAAUGUUGAAAAAUUAGCGGAUGACUUGUGGCUGGGGGUGAAAGGCCAAUCAAACCGGGAGAUAGCUGGUUCUCCCCGAAAGCUAUUUAGGUAGCGCCUCGUGAAUUCAUCUCCGGGGGUAGAGCACUGUUUCGGCAAGGGGGUCAUCCCGACUUACCAACCCGAUGCAAACUGCGAAUACCGGAGAAUGUUAUCACGGGAGACACACGGCGGGUGCUAACGUCCGUCGUGAAGAGGGAAACAACCCAGACCGCCAGCUAAGGUCCCAAAGUCAUGGUUAAGUGGGAAACGAUGUGGGAAGGCCCAGACAGCCAGGAUGUUGGCUUAGAAGCAGCCAUCAUUUAAAGAAAGCGUAAUAGCUCACUGGUCGAGUCGGCCUGCGCGGAAGAUGUAACGGGGCUAAACCAUGCACCGAAGCUGCGGCAGCGACGCUUAUGCGUUGUUGGGUAGGGGAGCGUUCUGUAAGCCUGUGAAGGUGUGCUGUGAGGCAUGCUGGAGGUAUCAGAAGUGCGAAUGCUGACAUAAGUAACGAUAAAGCGGGUGAAAAGCCCGCUCGCCGGAAGACCAAGGGUUCCUGUCCAACGUUAAUCGGGGCAGGGUGAGUCGACCCCUAAGGCGAGGCCGAAAGGCGUAGUCGAUGGGAAACAGGUUAAUAUUCCUGUACUUGGUGUUACUGCGAAGGGGGGACGGAGAAGGCUAUGUUGGCCGGGCGACGGUUGUCCCGGUUUAAGCGUGUAGGCUGGUUUUCCAGGCAAAUCCGGAAAAUCAAGGCUGAGGCGUGAUGACGAGGCACUACGGUGCUGAAGCAACAAAUGCCCUGCUUCCAGGAAAAGCCUCUAAGCAUCAGGUAACAUCAAAUCGUACCCCAAACCGACACAGGUGGUCAGGUAGAGAAUACCAAGGCGCUUGAGAGAACUCGGGUGAAGGAACUAGGCAAAAUGGUGCCGUAACUUCGGGAGAAGGCACGCUGAUAUGUAGGUGAAGUCCCUUGCGGAUGGAGCUGAAAUCAGUCGAAGAUACCAGCUGGCUGCAACUGUUUAUUAAAAACACAGCACUGUGCAAACACGAAAGUGGACGUAUACGGUGUGACGCCUGCCCGGUGCCGGAAGGUUAAUUGAUGGGGUCAGCGCAAGCGAAGCUCUUGAUCGAAGCCCCGGUAAACGGCGGCCGUAACUAUAACGGUCCUAAGGUAGCGAAAUUCCUUGUCGGGUAAGUUCCGACCUGCACGAAUGGCGUAAUGAUGGCCAGGCUGUCUCCACCCGAGACUCAGUGAAAUUGAACUCGCUGUGAAGAUGCAGUGUACCCGCGGCAAGACGGAAAGACCCCGUGAACCUUUACUAUAGCUUGACACUGAACAUUGAGCCUUGAUGUGUAGGAUAGGUGGGAGGCUUUGAAGUGUGGACGCCAGUCUGCAUGGAGCCGACCUUGAAAUACCACCCUUUAAUGUUUGAUGUUCUAACGUGGACCCGUAAUCCGGGUUGCGGACAGUGUCUGGUGGGUAGUUUGACUGGGGCGGUCUCCUCCUAAAGAGUAACGGAGGAGCACGAAGGUUGGCUAAUCCUGGUCGGACAUCAGGAGGUUAGUGCAAUGGCAUAAGCCAGCUUGACUGCGAGCGUGACGGCGCGAGCAGGUGCGAAAGCAGGUCAUAGUGAUCCGGUGGUUCUGAAUGGAAGGGCCAUCGCUCAACGGAUAAAAGGUACUCCGGGGAUAACAGGCUGAUACCGCCCAAGAGUUCAUAUCGACGGCGGUGUUUGGCACCUCGAUGUCGGCUCAUCACAUCCUGGGGCUGAAGUAGGUCCCAAGGGUAUGGCUGUUCGCCAUUUAAAGUGGUACGCGAGCUGGGUUUAGAACGUCGUGAGACAGUUCGGUCCCUAUCUGCCGUGGGCGCUGGAGAACUGAGGGGGGCUGCUCCUAGUACGAGAGGACCGGAGUGGACGCAUCACUGGUGUUCGGGUUGUCAUGCCAAUGGCACUGCCCGGUAGCUAAAUGCGGAAGAGAUAAGUGCUGAAAGCAUCUAAGCACGAAACUUGCCCCGAGAUGAGUUCUCCCUGACUCCUUGAGAGUCCUGAAGGAACGUUGAAGACGACGACGUUGAUAGGCCGGGUGUGUAAGCGCAGCGAUGCGUUGAGCUAACCGGUACUAAUGAACCGUGAGGCUUAACCUU